GCAAGUCGAGCGGGAUCUUCGGAUCUAGCGGCGGACGGGUUAGUAACGCGUGGGAACGUACCCAGAUCUACGGAAUAGCCUCGGGAAACUGAGAGUAAUACCGUAUACGCCCUUCGGGGGAAAGAUUUAUCGGAUUUGGAUCGGCCCGCGUAAGAUUAGAUAGUUGGUGGGGUAAUGGCCUACCAAGUCUACGAUCCUUAGCUGGUUUGAGAGGAUGAUC
rnacentral:rRNA from 1 species